GGAUGAGCCCGCGGCCUAUCAGCUAGUUGGUGAGGUAAUGGCUCACCAAGGCGUCGACGGGUAGCCGGCCUGAGAGGGUGACCGGCCACACUGGGACUGAGACACGGCCCAGACUCCUACGGGAGGCAGCAGUGGGGAAUAUUGCACAAUGGGCGCAAGCCUGAUGCAGCAACGCCGCGUGAGGGACGACGGCCUUCGGGUUGUAAACCUCUUUUAGCAGGGAAGAAGCGAAAGUGACGGUACCUGCAGAAAAAGCACCGGCUAACUACGUGACAGCAGCCGCGGCCG
rnacentral:rRNA from 1 species